rnacentral:tmRNA from 1 species
GGGGGCGCUUUGGCUUCGACGGGGGCAUGAUUGGUCUAGUAAGCGAGUAGAGGCACGCAUGUCACCUCUUAAAUAAAGUAUGCAAAAAUGUAAACGCAGAAAACAAUUUUGCAAUAGCAGCUUAAUUUAGCCGCUCAUCCGCCCAGGCUCCCCAUGGCUUGGAUCACGGGUGUCAUGAAGUGGGAAACGAAGUUUAGCAAAGCUUUGAGCUAAAGGGGUAUUUAUGAAGCUACUGAAGGGAAGAGCCCGUCUAUAGGCGCUCCUGGAGGAAAAUUUAAAAUGUAGAAUACACUCGUAGAAAGCUAGGUUGGUCGGCUUUCGGACAUGGGUUCGAAACCCAUCGCCUCCACCA